ensembl:lncRNA
UAAGCCUGCUUUCCAUGGGAAACUUUAAGGAGUCAUGCAUCUGGACUCAGAGAUUAGCUUUCGUUUCUGGUUCCCCAGAGAACUGCUCUUUGGUGGGAAAACUAGACCCUAUUUAGGUGUUUUACCCACAAAGGGAUCUUGCGGAGUCAAUUCGUCAGCUACUGGAGUAAGUUGUGUGUGGACAGCGCGCUCCGUUUCCAAGCCUCGUUCCUGUUUCAAGCCUUGUUCCUGAUUCCAAGCCUUCGCUCCUAUUUCCAAGCCUUCGUUCCCGUUUCCAGCCUUGUUUACCUCCACGGACCUUGCCUUGUUUCCAGGACUCAGCCUUGCUUUGUUUUCCGGAUUUUGCCAAGUAAUUCCACGGAUCUUGUUCUCGCUCCUCAUUCCUUGUUGCCUUGUUUCAAGCCUUGUUCCUGAUUCCAAGCCUUCGCUCCUAUUUCCAAGCCUUCGUUCCCGUUUCCAGCCUUGUUUACCUCCACGGACCUUGCCUUGUUUCCAGGACUCAGCCUUGCUUUGUUUUCCGGAUUUUGCCAAGUAAUUCCACGGAUCUUGUUCUCGCUCCUCGUUCCUUGUUGCCUUGUAUCAAGCCUUGUUUCAAGUUAUUUCCUAGCCUUGCUCAAGUUCAUGGACUAAAGGACCUUGUCAUCUCCCCUCACUUUGCCUGGCAAAGUGAGUGUUUCGGUUAUUGGAUUACAACUUUGGACCUUAAUAUUUCAUAUUGGACAUUGUUUUCUUGGACUAAUUUUGACCUUUCCUGAAAGGUCUACUUCUGGACUAUUUCAUACACUUGCUUUUAUUAACUUUAUAUAUUUCCUUAAUAAAGAUAUUAGAUAGAUUCUGGCCUCUGUGUAUGGUUAUUGGUGCUCUGCAGCCUGGGUCGUGACAGGAGUCAAGUGCUACAGGGGAAGAACAUGGGAUGACUAGCCAUACCAGAAGAUGGACCUUGAAGUAAGACAGUUCCCUUUAUUUUUCCCUGCUUUUUCCCCUACUCAUGGGAUGAGAUCAUAAAUGCAAUGAGCAAUUAUGUCCACCUGUUUAAAAGUAUGUACUUACACAAAAACAAAGCUAAUGUAAAUGGUACCAUAGAUGGUAUGUCUGUUCGCUUCCCGUGCUUUCCCAGGAAGCGUCUGAAUAGCAUUUUCAGACACUCAUACCAUUAAGAACCAUUCCAAUUAUAAGGGGGGAAUUGCAAAAGGGACCCUGUUUCUGCCUGCUGCAACAGAGAUCAUGUUGAAGUGGGAAUGAUUGUAUAUAGAGUUGUUUAAAUGUAAUUGAGUCAUGGUUGUGCAAUGUGUGUUGGAGAUUGCAUCAUACACUGUGUGCUGCUUACUAUGCUAGUGUGUAAAGGGUUAAACUUGGAUUGCAUCAGACAGCAGAGGAUGAGAUAAAUAGCCCUCUACUUCCUAUCUCUGCCCCUUCCCAUGUGUGCCUGCGUGAGAGCUGUGUAUCGUCUUGUGGAUUGAUAGAAAACCGAAGACUGCAGUGUCAUCAUUUAUCCAGAGCUUCCUCGUCAGCGACUUCUGCUGCGUGUGCCUAGCAAAGCCACUCUGACAGAUCAGUCAUGCAAAGUUCUGCUUUCCAAGCCACAGGGGAACAGACCCCUGUCAAUCACAGCAGCUGCCGACCACUAAAUGGGAACUGGGGAAGUUAGGCUAAUAUCCACUAUGUAGAAAUAUCAUUGUCAUCUUUAUUUCUCAUCCCCUUCUCCCUGUGGAUCAAGACAUAACUACCAUGGUUACAAAGCAAUGCAGUACAUAAAAGAUUGUGGCCUUACUACUAAUAGCAACAACAACUAUUAUUGAUGGCUCCUUCCUGUAGUUACACAAAACAGUAUUGAGGAGGACUUUAGGGUGCCAGGUAUAUUGUCAUUAUAGUCAUCUGUUAAAAAUACAAAAAUAGGAACCUGAAACAAGAUUUGUUUAAUGUGUUGUCGAAGGCUUUCAUGGCCGGGAUCACAGGGUUGUUGUAUGUCUUUCGGGCUGUGUGGCCAUGUUCCAGAAGUAUUCUCUACUGACGUUUCGCCCACAUCUAUGGCAGGCAUCCUCAGAGGUUGUGAGGUAUGGAUAAACUAAGUAAGGAAAGGAAAGAAUAUAUAUCUGUGUAGAGUCCAGGGUGUGGCAAGAGUCCUUUGUCACUGGGAGCCAGCAU